GCAGGGAAUUUUGCGCAAUGGGCGAAAGCCUGACGCAGCGACGCCGCGUGAGGGAAGAAGGCCUUCGGGUUGUAAACCUCUUUUCUGGGGGAAGAGCAAGGACGGUACCCCAGGAAUAAGCCCCGGCUAACUACGUGCCAGCAGCCGCGGUAAUACGUAGGGGGCGAGCGUUGUCCGGAAUUACUGGGCGUAAAGGGCGCGUAGGCGGCCCAAAAAGUCUCCGGUGAAAUCUCCCGGCUUAACUGGGAGCGGUCCGGGGAAACUCUUGGGCUUGAGGACAGCAGAGGAGAGUGGAAUUCCCGGUGUAGUGGUGAAAUGCGUAGAUAUCGGGAGGAACACCAGUGGCGAAGGCGGCUCUCUGGGCUGUACCUGACGCUAAGGCGCGAAAGCGUGGGGAGCAAACCGG
rnacentral:rRNA from 1 species